rnacentral:rRNA from 1 species
AGUGAGCGCUGGCGGUAGGCCUAACACAUGCAAGUCGAACGGCAGCACAGUAAGAGCUUGCUCUUACGGGUGGCGAGUGGCGGACGGGUGAGGAAUACAUCGAAAUCUACUUUUUCGUGGGGGAUAACGUAGGGAAACUUACGCUAAUACCGCAUACGACCUACGGGUGAAAGCAGGGGAUCUUCGGACCUUGCGCGAUUGAAUGAGCCGAUGUCGGAUUAGCUAGUUGGCGGGGUAAAGGCCCACCAAGGCGACGAUCCGUAGCUGGUCUGAGAGGAUGAUCAGCCACACUGGAACUGAGACACGGUCCAGACUCCUACGGGAGGCAGCAGUGGGGAAUAUUGGACAAUGGGCGCAAGCCUGAUCCAGCCAUACCGCGUGGGUGAAGAAGGCCUUCGGGUUGUAAAGCCCUUUUGUUGGGAAAGAAAAGCAGCAGGUUAAUACCCCGCUGUUCUGACGGUACCCAAAGAAUAAGCACCGGCUAACUUCGUG